GGGCUUUUCAUUGGAUUCGAACGCCCUAUAUUGAGCGUGUCGAAGGUUCGCCGGAGACUAUGGUGAUAAAAUGCGGCGUAUAAUAGACGCAACGGACCCGGGGGCAGUACCCGGCGGCUCCACCACAACCGGCCCUUUUGGACCGGUCAUGACGGGGCCGAAGCAGGAUCGACGUGUGUUCAAAGGCGCUGUUUUUGCCCGGGCUGAGUAACCCGUUCAAGGCUCAAAACCACAAGUGCUAACGAUAACGAAGCACUCGCAAUUGCCGCGUAACACUAAGGCCUAACGGUCUAAGUUACGAGGACGAAAGCGCGGUUGGGACCGCACCGGGCAACAGAAGCGGAAACCAGCGGUACGGGGGGCACCGGGCAACAGAAGCCCCCCACU
rnacentral:tmRNA from 1 species